rnacentral:rRNA from 1 species
UACGUAGGCUGUUUAUUAAGUCAAAUGUGAAAGCCCCGGGCUUAACCUGGGAACUGCAUUUGAUACUGGUAAACUAGAGUAUGGUAGAGGGGGGUAGAAUUCCUAGUGUAGCGGUGAAAUGCGUAGAUAUUAGGAGGAAUACCAGUGGCGAAGGCGGCCCCCUGGACCAAUACUGACGCUGAGGUACGAAAGCGUGGGUAGCGAACA